rfam:Musa acuminata subsp. malaccensis Doubled-haploid Pahang (DH-Pahang) genomic chromosome, chr4
GAUCUGCAAAGAGAGCUUCCUUCAGUCCACUCUUGGGUGGCCAUGGGAUGUGAUUAGCUGCCGACUCAUUCAUCCACAUGCCCGGUAAAAGGGACGAUGGCUUUGCCGGGCACAUGAGUGAAUGAUGCGGGAGGUGAGUCGGAUCCCAUGCUGCCUUUGCUUGGACUGAAGGGAGCUCCCUUCUCUACUACC